rnacentral:rRNA from 1 species
CCUUUUAGCAUUUAUGUUAAGGUGAAGUUGGAGUUGGAGGAUAAUUGCUGGCGCAACUUAGGUUGCUUGUUGGCUCCUCUUGAAUAGAUCAGCUUUUCUGAUGGAUCAUGGCUCAGUAACACUAAUAUGAUAAUUAAUUUAUAUUAGAUGUGAAAGCUGUGAGUAGAGUGACUUCAAUUAUGGAGAAGCUCCUAUAGAAAAGGAUGUGUCUUGGGGGGAUAAAUAAACCCUUGACUUGAAAUAUAAUGACAAAUCUGACCUCAAAUCAGGUAGGACUACCCGCUGAACUUAAGCAUAUCAAUAAGCGGAGG